UACGUAGGUGGCAAGCGUUGUCCGGAUUUACUGGGCGUAAAGAGCGCGCAGGCGGUCGUUCAAGUCGAGUGUGAAAGCCCCCGGCUCAACUGGGGAGGGUCACUCGAUACUGAUCGACUCGAAGGCAGAAGAGGGAAGCGGAAUUCCCGGUGUAGUGGUGAAAUGCGUAGAUAUCGGGAGGAACACCAGUGGCGAAGGCGGCUUCUUGGCUGCUCUUGACGCUGAGGCGCGAAAGCUAGGGGAGCGAACGGG
rnacentral:rRNA from 1 species